CUCACACCUGAAGAUAUGAAUCUAGGAGCCUCAGGUGAAGGAACUUAGCAAAACAGUUCUUCACAACUCUCAACAGACAGCAAAAGAUUGGAGACACCUCAAUCAUGUUGAUGUAGCAAGGACCAAUAAAG